AUUGAACGCUGGCGGCAUGCCUUACACAUGCAAGUCGAACGGCAGCACGGAGCUUGCUCUGGUGGCGAGUGGCGAACGGGUGAGUAAUAUAUCGGAACGUACCCCAGAGUGGGGGAUAACGUAGCGAAAGUUACGCUAAUACCGCAUACGACCUAAGGAUGAACGGGGGGGAUCGCAAGACCUCAUGCUCCUGGAGCGGCCGAUAUCUGAUUAGCUAUUUGGUGAGGUAAAGGCUUACCAAGGCAUCGAUCAGAAGCUGUUCUGAGAGGACGACCAGCCACACUGGAACUGAGACACGGUCCAGACUCCUACGGGAGGCAGCAGUGGGGAAUUUUGGAUAAUGGGGGCAACCUUGAUCCAGCAAUGCCGCGUGAGUGAAGAAGGCCUUCGGGUUGUAAAGCUCUUUUGUCAGGGAAGAAACGGUGAAGGCUAAUAUCCUUUGCUAAUGACGGUACCUGAAGAAUAAGCACCGGCUAACUACGUGCCAGCCGCCGCAGUAACAC
rnacentral:rRNA from 1 species